CAGAGCUGAAGCCCUACUGCCACAGCCAGGGACAAGCAAUUCAUCUGCUUUUGCAUUCCCAGAGGAUUUUCACACAAACAGAAGGAGUAAAUGUACCCAUCCCUCCCCACUCAAAGAGGUAUAUGCUAACUAUUCGCAUAUAUAUAUGCUAUUGUGUAAGUCCUUCCUGGUGAGUUUUAGACCAAAAAAAAAAAUGCUUCUAGAAUAUGAGGAGGCCUGAGAUAAUUAGAGAGUGAUUGUGGAGAGAGGGGCGGAGAGGCCAGGCUGGUGUUAUGCAGAGGGAGGAGGAGCGGAAGAGCACGGGUGGACUUGUGAACAAGUCCUAAGUCUUCCCAGCUUACGUGUGAUUUCUGCAUAAGAUACUGAAUCCCCCUGGGCUCCUGCGCCUUUGUGUUUCAGGUGUUUGUUUAAACUGGUCUGUUUGUUACUACUGUCUCUACUUCAGUAUCUUUUCACCUGGUUUUUGGCAGUGUUGGUUUGCUGGGACUGACACACAGGGCCACCGUCAUCACCUGGAACCAGAGGGCAACCACACAGAGAGGAAGGAUAUGUGGACUCCUUCGUCAGCCUGUAGCGGCACAUUCCAGGGGUGUCUUAUUCUUUAGUGCUUGACACAUGGUCCUCACCAGGACAACUCCUCAGGUGGAUGAUGUUCUAACAGGGAGACACGGAAGAGGGAGAGGCGAAAGGAUAGAGCUGGGCGGCUGAGUCGAGGAGUUGGAGAAGGCAGUCAGCAAUGUCUAAAGUGUUGCGCCCUCUCACCCAUUCCUACCCCCAGGCUCCUAGACAGGUCCAACAGCACCUUCUCCCCGAUCUCCCCUGACUCUCCAUACUCCAGGGCCCACAGACCUCCUUCCUGGCACUAAUCACACUGGAGAGCAGUGACCUCGUAUCAUCUUGAUCUCUCAUCAACUCUGUGAUUUGAAGGCAGGAAUGGCAUUUCACUGCCGUGUUUUUUUAUGCCAAAGCAUAACCUGGUUCAUAUGAGACUCUUAAUAAAUUCCUAUUUGAUGAACGCACGAAGGGAGAAAGUAGAAGAGUUAACUGGGCAAAGGCCUAGGGGUAAAGCACAGGUAGAAAAUAAAUCUCCAGAAGGAAUUGAAAAGGGAACCUUGACCUUCAAAGAGUGACUCCUAUUCAGCAGUGCCAAGUGGACAGGAAGGCCAGACGGACUCAGAGAGCAGGACCAGGGCCUCGGAAGGGGAAUGCCCUUUCUCAACAGAAAGAAAAAAACUGGACUCGUUUCCUUUGCCAUCUACUUCUCUGUCUCUUCCUCUGGUUGAUGUCCAACCAUUUAAUGGACCUACUGUUUUAGUGACAGAGAGCUGGGUUCAAUUGCCAUCUCCUCUACGGAACCUUCCUCAUCUCCACGAAGCCAGACAUGACACGUGGGUCCAGAAAUCUGUGGGUCUAGCUUUCCUCAUUUUUUACUAUAUUGAAAUAUUCAAUCCAACCAUC